GACGAACGCUGGCGGCGUGCCUAAUACAUGCAAGUAGAACGCACAGUUUAUACCGUAGCUUGCUACACCAUAGACUGUGAGUUGCGAACGGGUGAGUAACGCGUAGGUAACCUGCCUGGUAGCGGGGGAUAACUAUUGGAAACGAUAGCUAAUACCGCAUAAUAUUGAUUAUUGCAUGAUAAUUGAUUGAAAGAUGCUAUUGCAUCACUACCAGAUGGACCUGCGUUGUAUUAGCUAGUAGGUGAGGUAACGGCCCACCUAGGCGACGAUACAUAGCCGACCUGAGAGGGUGAUCGGCCACACUGGGACUGAGACACGGCCCAGACUCCUACGGGAGGCAGCAGUAGGGAAUCUUCGGCAAUGGACGAAAGUCUGACCGAGCAACGCCGCGUGAGUGAAGAAGGUUUUCGGAUCGUAAAGCUCUGUUGUAAGAGAAGAACGGGUGUGAGAGUGGAAAGUUCACACUGUGACGGUAUCUUACCAGAAAGGGACGGCUAACUACGUG
rnacentral:rRNA from 1 species